rnacentral:lncRNA from 1 species
UGGAAGCCUCAAAAUAUCCCAUGUCAGUCAUUCAAAUUAGUUGUGAUACUUUAGAACAGGACUUCUUUAUCUUUAGGAUCUACAGAUGUAUUUUAAUGAUCUGAAAUUGUACCCAAAUCCUCUAGGUACCUGUAUAGUUGUUUUCGUGAAAGAAGCAGCUUUACUUUCUUAAAUAAGAUCUGCAACCCAAAAAAUAUUGAGAAUUAUUGAC